UACCAUGGUUUUAACGGGUAACGGGGAAUUAGGGUCCGAUUCCGGAGAGGGAGCCUGAGAAACGGCUACCACAUCCAAGGAAGGCAGCAGGCGCGCAAAUUACCCGAUCCCGACACGGGGAGGUAGUGACAAUAAAUAACAAUAUGGGGCUCUUACGAGUCUUGUAAUUGGAAUGAGUACAAUUUAAAUCUCUUAACGAGGAACAAUUGGAGGGCAAGUCUGGUGCCAGCAGCCGCGGUAAUUCCAGCUCCAAUAGCGUAUAUUAAAGUUGUCGCAGUUAAAAAGCUCGUAGUUGAAUUUCGGGAUUUAUCCGUCGGUCGGGCUUUUGGGUCUGUACUGGCGUGAUGGAUUCCUACCUUCUGAAUAACUGGCAUGUCAUUAAUUUGGUGCGCCGGGGAAGCAGGACUGUUACCUUGAAAAAAUUAGAGUGCUUAAAGCAGGCUUAUGCCUGAAUACAUUAGCAUGGAAUAAUGAAAUAGGACGGCAUGGUUCUAUUUUGUUGGUUUCUAGGAUCACCGUAAUGAUUAAUAGGGAUAGUUGGGGGCAUUAGUAUUCAAUUGUCAGAGGUGAAAUUCUUGGAUUUAUUGAAGACUAACUUCUGCGAAAGCAUUUGCCAAGGAUGUUUUCAUUAAUCAAGAACGAAAGUUAGGGGAUCGAAGACGAUCAGAUACCGUCGUAGUCUUAACCAUAAACUAUGCCGACUAGGGAUCGGACGAUGUUAAUUUUUUAAUGACUCGUUCGGCGCCUUACGGGAAACCAAAGUGUUU
rnacentral:rRNA from 1 species